rnacentral:misc_RNA from 1 species
UCUCCCUUUUCUUGUUUUGUUCAUUAGGAAUUUGUUGAUAUGCCAAUGACAACUUUAACUCUUUCAAUUGGUGCAUGUUCUGUAACUUUUUCUUUGGAUGAAAAUAUCUCAUGUUCACUGGCAACUUAAGGCUUUCUUAAAUAACUAUAGAUUAACUUCAAAAUGGAGAUGUUAGAUAGCUGCUUUUAAGUAGAUGGAUGUUUUUCUUGCAUUUGUGGGUUUGUGCAACUUUGCAAUUUCCAGAUCCAGGAUUGGUAUCAGAGUUAGUUAUGUCUUUGGGAAGAGGAAUUUUUGAGUUAGAAUAUGGCCCUUUUUUUUGUCUGAAGUGCUAACUUUCUCAAAUCAUAGAGUAAGCAUGGGUCUAGGAGUACUUCAUCAAAACACUCAUAGCAGGUUUUUCUUUUCUUACAUGGUUUAAUGAUGCCCUGAAAAUUCUUCCAUGGAUUAAGAGAAAAUCAGGAGCAGUUUCAUAUCUUGGUUUUUAUAGAUCCUACAAUAUGUUUCGUACAAAUAGGCAAUACAAAUACUGAUAACUUGAAUCAUGUAAAUGAUUUCUUCGAUCCCUGAUGCAGUUGCUGCAGUGAAGGCUCUUAAGGGUAUGUGGGAAAACACACCACCUAGCUGGGAAGGUCAAGACCCUUGUGGAGACCAAUGGGAUGGCAUAAAGUGCAUCAAUUCACGU